UACGAAGGGGGCUAGCGUUGCUCGGAAUCACUGGGCGUAAAGGGUGCGUAGGCGGGUCUUUAAGUCGGGGGUGAAAUCCUGGAGCUCAACUCCAGAACUGCCUUUGAUACUGGCGACCUUGAGUCCGGGAGAGGUGAGUGGAACUCCGAGUGUAGAGGUGAAAUUCGUAGAUAUUCGGAAGAACACCAGUGGCGAAGGCGGCUCACGUGGCCCGGUACUGACGCUGAGGUGCGAAAGCGUGGGGAGCAAACAGG
rnacentral:rRNA from 1 species